rnacentral:lncRNA from 1 species
UUUACUUCUCUCUCUAACCUUCACUUUGCAAAACUCUCUUAUUUCCACCAAGAAACCAUCAUCCACAACCAUCAUUUUCCUGGCCAGAUUUAAAUCGGAACCACCAAAAUCAGUUUUUGGGUGGCUUGAUGAUCAUGUUAUGUGCUUGCAUGGAAGAUCCGAAGCUGCGACAGUAGUAAACUCUCGAGCCCGAGAACCCUAGGCCAACUCAUUGGAUUUUGGUGAGUCGUUCGUCCAAAUUUGUACCAAUUUGUAUAUGGUUGAGUUAUGUAGUGAUGUAUGUUGGGAUUUGGGAUGAAAUUUGAGGGUUUUAACCCUUAUUUCAUCACUAUCAAUUUCUCCAGAAUUUGGCUGGGAGACUCGUCCAAAUUAUGGCGAAUCAGAGACGGAUUUAAACCCCAUUAUAGAAAUUAUGAGCUUGUUGGUAAGUUUCUAGACUCUUACAUGAAUUUUGAGUGAAAUUUAAGUGGGAAUCGAGAUUCUUAACCUCUGAAUGCCUACGAGCAUUUAUCCAGAAAGUGGUCAUGGACUCCGGUUGAGUUUCGUCAAGUCUGAAGCCAAUUUCAGCCCAAAUCUUCUUGGAUUGAACGUAAUAGAAUAUUUCCAUCAUUUUUGGAGGGUUUUGAUUUAAUUUGGUG